GUUAAUUUCUGGAGUUCUGUCACAGAGUUUUGACCGCAAAGUACACAUUAAAGUGAAACUUAAUGCUUAUUGUUGUCUCCAUGCAGUGAAGAAGAAGAUUGGCAUCCUCAGAAUGAUGACCGUCCCGAGUGACCUUAAUCUCAGAGGGACCAUUGCAGGCAGGCUCACCAGAAACACUUAGUGCAAGAGAGCAGUUAUGAAGACAGAGAGAUGUUACUGUUGCAGUUCUUCUUGGUGUACAUCAUCAUGUAGCCUCAUCUUUGAACACAGUUGUUGUAGAACCUACUCGUAACUCCUGUUUUCUCAGCAUUCACAGUGUGGAGGUAUACAUCCAAGAUGAUUUUUGUAUGAGGGUUCUGAAGAUCACCUACUCACCCAUCAAUAAUACAUGUAGUCACAGUCAUCUUCCUCCAGUGCAUUUAUAAUGGGUCCUACUUCCAUGGGUCACCCCUCAGUGAUGAACUUUGUGCCCUGCGGUGAGGUAAUGCAAUAACACCUGCUUGAUGAAGUCAUUGGAUUGUGCUCGUAACAUGGAGACAGGGCAUUUAACCAAGCAGGUCAGUGACAAAACCCGGAGUUGCUCUUCUAAGUACUAACAAGAGUUUAGAUCCUCCACUUCAAUUCCCUGAGUAGAUGUCAACAUGGCCUUAUCAUCCAUGGAGCAAAUCAUCAACUACAGGGGGACAAUGAAGGCAGGCCAAGUUGUCACUGUAUACCGACGAGCUAGUCCGGAAAGAGUGUUUGAACUUCACUCAGAGUAACAUCAAUCAGCCAACAAGUUGUCACUGUAUACCGACGAGCUAAUCCGGAAAGAGUGUUUGGACUUCACACAGAGUAACAUCAAUCAGCCAACAAGAUCAACUAAUCGAGACAGAGAGUGUCGGAUCUCCAUUCAAGUUCGUGCCCAUCACCAGUGGAGAUGCCUUUUUCUCAACAGUAACUUAGUGUUUGUAGGUUUUAAUUUGUAAUUACUCGUAUCUGGGAUGGAUCUUUAGGUUUAAUCUAAUAUCACCAAGAUAAUGGCGGCUUUUCUCAAAAGAGCAUCAUUGUCGGCAAGAUUUAAAUGUGCACAUCCUGAGUGUGGUGAAUCAUUCAUACUUUCUUUGU